rnacentral:rRNA from 1 species
UACGUAGGGUGCAGGCGUUAAUCGGAAUUACUGGGCGUAAAGCGUGCGCAGGCGGUUUGCUAAGACAGGUGUGAAAUCCCCGGGCUUAACCUGGGAACUGCGUUUGUAACUGGCAAGCUAGAGUGUGGCAGAGGGGGGUGGAAUUCCAAGUGUAGCAGUGAAAUGCGUAGAUAUUUGGAGGAACACCGAUGGCGAAGGCAGCCCCCUGGGCUAACACUGACGCUCAUGCACGAAAGCGUGGGGAGCAAACAGG